AGUAGGUAAGGGUUCAAACUAUAAUUAGCUCUCAUUUUCUUUGAAAUCCUUUAUCAAAUCUCAUCCCGUUCAAGGGUCCCAAUCAAAUCUCAAGAGUCUGUUCGGAGCAAUGCUGGCUUGCAUUAAAAUAACCACGUGUUGAUAUCUGGUGUAGCCUCUUAAGCGAUUGUCGUUUUGGUGGCCAGACAUCACUUAAGCAGUUAUAAACCCCAUUUCACAAAUUUUCACCAUUUUUAGACUUUGAGCUUCAAGUUUGGGAAGUUAUUAGGGUUUCAUCAUUAUUUAAACUUGGUUGAUCCCAAGGUCAUUCGAGAAGGGGAAAUGUAGUAUUAAAGGAC